rnacentral:lncRNA from 1 species
UGACCACUGGCCUGCCCCUUCUAUGGGAAUCACUACUGACCUUGCAGCUUAUUAUAGACUUAUAUGUUUUUUGCAUGUCUGACACCCAUGACUCCACCUGGACCUUAUGGCUCCACCCAGAAGCAAUUCAGCCCAACAGGAGGACAGCUUCAACCCAUUACGAUUUCAUCUCUGCCCCAACCACUCAGCAGCAAGCACCUGUUACCUGUCCACCCCCACCCCUUCCCCCAAACUGCCUUUGAAAAAUCCCUAACCUAUGAGCUUUGAAUAAGAUGAGUACGAACUUCAUCGCCCACGUGGCGUGGCCGGCCUCGUGUCUAUUAAAU